CUUCAGGGUUCCUGGAUGUCAUGCAGAUCUUGGUAGAACCUCCAAAUGAAAGACCCCAGUGGGAAGACCCCCACUCAAGUCCCGAGACAGUGCACGUAACCAAGGAAUCACGAGAGACC
rnacentral:pre_miRNA from 7 species